rnacentral:rRNA from 1 species
CAGCAGCCACGGUAAUACGAAGGGGGCUAGCGUUGCUCGGAAUGACUGGGCGUAAAGGGCGCGUAGGCGGUUUUCCAAGUUAGAUGUGAAAUUCCUGGGCUCAACCUGGGGGCUGCAUUUGAUACUGGGAGGCUUGAGUAUGGAAGAGGGUCGUGGAAUUCCCAGUGUAGAGGUGAAAUUCGUAGAUAUUGGGAAGAACACCGGUGGCGAAGGCGGCGACCUGGUCCAUAACUGACGCUGAGGCGCGAAAGCGUGGGGAGCAAACAGGAUUAGAUACCCCAGUAGUCCCUGUCUCUUAUAC